AACGAACGCUGGCGGCAGGCUUAACACAUGCAAGUCGAACGCCCCGCAAGGGGAGUGGCAGACGGGUGAGUAACGCGUGGGAACAUACCCUUUCCUGCGGAAUAGCUCCGGGAAACUGGAAUUAAUACCGCAUACGCCCUACGGGGGAAAGAUUUAUCGGGGAAGGAUUGGCCCGCGUUGGAUUAGCUAGUUGGUGGGGUAAAGGCCUACCAAGGCGACGAUCCAUAGCUGGUCUGAGAGGAUGAUCAGCCACAUUGGGACUGAGACACGGCCCAAACUCCUACGGGAGGCAGCAGUGGGGAAUAUUGGACAAUGGGCGCAAGCCUGAUCCAGCCAUGCCGCGUGAGUGAUGAAGGCCUUAGGGUUGUAAAGCUCUUUCACCGAUGAAGAUAAUGACGGUAGUCGGAGAAGAAGCCCCGGCUAACUUCGUGCCAGCCGCCGCGGUAAAAC
rnacentral:rRNA from 1 species